AAAAACUAAUGUGAAAUUUAGUAAAGUUAUAUUAAACUAGAAGUGGGCGCGCAACGCGCUGUUUUGGUUCUAGUGCUAAUAACAAAAAGAAUAAGGUUCUGCUACUUAUACAGAAAUUUUAAACGAAAUGUCCAUCUUGUGACAUCCUUAAUUUUUAGCAUAUUUUCCAUUUUUUGAAGAAUUGUUUCUAAUCGCAGACUAAUUGAGUUUUUAAUAGUGGAAAUCGGUUUGAUGAAAAGUAUAAAGACCCCAAUGCAUAAAGUUCUCGAUAUUCUCGAUGUAUGCCAACUGGAUGCCAGUGAGCUUCAUCCUCUCUUAGAAGAGGUCGAUUUGGUUCUGGAAUCUCAAACCAAAAGUGUUGCGUUUUUUGAGUUUUGAAACAAAAUUCGUUGCUCUCGGGGGGGUCUUUAGCUUUCGUUUCUAUGCGCGCUAACGGUGGUAGCGACCAAUAUUCAAAUGGUACAAUAAGCCUAAGCUCUAGGAUAACACGGAAGUGGUGCAAGGUCACGGUCACCCUGGGGAUGCCCUCUUUGGCGAGAGUUGCCGGAAGGGGGAAGUAGAAGAGAGCAAGAGAGAGAGUGAGAGAGAGAGAGAAGGGGGGGAGGUACACAUAGUGGUAGAAGUGGUAGACGAGGGCUUCUCCUCAACAAGUGUAAUCGUUCUGUGCACGAGGCUGAUGGUUAUAUAGCUAGCGAACAAACCAGCGCCGUGUUCAGAACCGCGCGGACACGGAAGAGAUUUUUGCUCAGCUAUACAGUCGUUCGAUCUUCUCACGUUAGUCGCGCCUCUUUCUUCAAUUUACAUCAUCGACAUUGUUUCACGGCAUAAUUGACAAUUAACAUUCAUAUAAUUUCUCCUCUUUCCAAUUUCAUAAAUCCUUUUACAAAAUAGUGUUGUGUUACGAACUGAUGCUGCUUCAGAGUGAUUUUGUUUGUAUUUUCUUUGUAUACUGUCGGGAUUUAUUUCCGUGCCAUCUCCACUUGAGAUUGAAGGGAAUAGUUUUCUAGUUCCAUUUAAACUGAUUUCAAGUGUUUGACAAGUAUUUUGAGAAACUUGAUGCAAAAAUGAUAGGGGAAAGUAUACGGCAAAUGUUGUGGUUGCGUGUUCAAAGCAGUAGUAGAACGAUUUUGCGAAAGUUGAUAAUCGCCAAUGAAUUUUAAAUUCCACGAGUGAAAGCGACAUUUAGUUCAAUGUAUAAGGGAAAAUUUCUUUUGGAAAGAUUUAGAAUUGUACAUUUUAGAGUUGAAAAUAUUUUUCUAUAAUCUUGAAAGUGUAACGGAACUAAUGUUCGGUAGUAUUAAUAAUAAUUUUUAAUACUUUAAACACAAGUGUUAAAUAAAUUAUAUUACAUAUUUUAGUGAACUAUUUUUCAGUAGAGGAUAGAAGAAAAAUACAGAUUUUUACAUGUUACGAUGCAAAUGUUUUGCAGAUGUUUUGAAAUUAUGUAAGAAAAAAUUUAUGACAUGAAUAGUUUACCAAAAGUAAUAAAAAAAAGGUGCUUCUAUAAAUUAAAGAGGAAGGAAAUAAAGGCGAUAUAAAUACGAUGCUUUUAAAUUUCAUCUAUAGACGAAUUUAGAAGAGUUUUAAUACUGUUUAACAUUUUUUAGCCAUUUUUAAUGUCACCAAGAUUUUUUAGCAGAAAAUUUCGAGCAGUUUUAAAAGAAACUGGAAAUAUUUUAAUAUAUUGAAUUCUACUUCAAUUCUUACAUUGUAAAUGUAAAUGUAAAACAAAGUGUGUAUAUCUGAAUCCUUCAAAUUCCUCGACCCCUGUUUCUUAUGACGCAUUGGAAAUUACUGUAGCAGACAAUCUAUUGUCCAACCAUGUCUUAGGCUUUGAAAUAAAUUGCUUUUGCACAGUGA